rnacentral:ncRNA from 1 species
AUAAUUUUGAGUUUGAUGAUGGCUCUGAUUGAACGCUGUCCCAAGUACUUGACACAUGCUAAUCGAACGACUAAUUAGUUUUAUAAAAACUGAGUAGUAGUGGUGUACAGGUGAGUAAAAGAUAAUUUGGCUACCUUAAAGUAAGGGGAAAAAUCCCUUAUAUAAAGAAAGGAAAAUAAAGGUCCGCUUUAAGAUGUUAAUCUUUAUCUCGGUGAGUAGUAGGAAAGGUAAUGACUUUUCUAGCUAAUAUCCGUAGUCGUGACUGAGAGGUCGAUCGACCACAUUGGGUCUGAAAAAACCCCAAUGCGUAUUAGUACAGCAGUGAGGAAUAUUGGUCAAUGGCCGAAAGGCUGAACCAGUAACUUGGAAGAAUGAAAGUGUAUUAUAGUAAUACAAUAACGAUUAACUCGUAUAAAAUUCUAAAUAGGAUAAUGAUAAUGACAAUUUCCUAUUUAUAAGUCUUGACCAAAUUACGUGCCAGCAGUCGCGGUAAUACGUAGAAGACUAGUGUUAGUCAUCUUUAUUAGGUUUAAAGGGUACCUAGACGGUAAAUUAAACUCUAAAUGAGUACUUUUUUACUAGAGUUUUAUGUGAGAAGGAAGAAUUUCUGGAGUAGUGAUGAAAUACUUUGAUACCAGAAGGACUGGUAACGGCGAAGGCAUCCUUCUAUGUAAAAACUGACGUUGAGGGACGAAGGCUUGGGUAGCAAUAAGGAUUAGAUACCCUAG